rnacentral:tRNA from 1 species
GGGGGUGUAGUUUAACCUGGCUAGAAUAAGCGGCUCCAACCCGCUGGAUCGGGGUUCAAAUCCCUGCGCCCCCA